rnacentral:lncRNA from 1 species
CACAGCCACAGCAAUGACCGAUCCGAGCUGCAUCUGCAACCUACACCACAGCUUACAGUAAUGCCGUAUCCUUAACCCACUGAGUGAGGCUAGGGAUCAAACCUGCAACCUCAUGGUUCCUAAUUGGAUUCAUUUCCACUGCCCCACAGUGGGGAACUCCUAGGCGUAGACUUUUUAAAAAAUUGAAGUAUAGUUGAUUUACAAUGUUGCACAGUUUAGACUUAAUCUCUAAAAGGCAUCAAAUGUUAAGUAGCUGCCAAGGAUCACGUAGCUAGUAAGCAGGGGAGUCAGGAUUCUAAUCCAGUGCUCUUACCUGCUUUGUUCUAUUGCUUCCUGCGUAGGUGAGUCAACACUCAAGGUAAGUAUAAAUGAAAUUUCAUCUACCGUACCAAUAGUCCUUGCAGGCUAAGCUGCAAGUUCAGUAGCCUUUAUAACACUCUUUUAGUGGAGAUAAAAACACUAAACAUUUGGACCGAAAAAUACUCAGAAGUUGGUAAUUAUCUUGUUAAUGAUCAAAGAGAAUAAGCCCAAAGAGGCUAAGGUGAGGAGUAUAAACAUAUUAAAUUGACUUAUUCUCCUACCUGAAACCAAAAAAAUGAUCUCAGCAGGUGCAGAAGUUUGUUACUUUCCAAUCCACCUCAGAGAGAAAUCUACCUCCUCCAUUUUUCUCCUGUCAGUCCCUAUAGUAUGCACAGUUCCAGUGGCCAUUAUCCCUGUCUCUAAAUAAGCAAGAACAAUAAUGUGGUCAAAGGAAGCCUGCUGCUUUUCACACUGGGAAGGCCUGGGUAAAAAGCAGAUUGUGAUUGAAUGGGGAUAAAAGUCAAAUUCCUACUGUUCCUCACCCUAAAUCCACUCUAUAUGCUCUUGUUCUGUCCUAAUUAGUCUCUGUCCCAGAUAGCUACUACGCCUUUUUGGUUAAUGAAUACCCAUGGCCUCAUCAUCUCCGGUAACUGAUCCCACAGGAGGCUGGGAGAGCCUCAUCCGAGCCACCUGACAGAAGGUGCUUUUCUAUUCAUAGAUUGCUUUGUACUUAGAAUCAAUGAAAAAUUAACAACCAGUUUGUUACCUCACCUAGGAGGCAGUGGCUUGCCCAUAAUUGUACAACCAGAAAAUGUUGGAGCUGGUACUUGAAUGAGGUCUUUUGACUAUGCUAAAAACUAUGCUUCUGCUUUCUUGCCCAGUUUAAUCUUCUUCCUCUGGCAAGUCAGGGCAACAGCUAGGGUUAGAUCAGAAAUACGUAUUUACCUCCAAACCUGCUUUGUGCUUAGAUCUCAGAUGCCAGUGAACAAAGUGGGAAAAUAAUGACGAAUAAGCAGAUCAAGACUUGCUUGUAAAUUCCUGUUUUGAUGCUUCCAUUUGAGGUCAUUUUUAAGUUAGAAAAGGCUUGGGGUGAGGUGGAAAGAGAGAGAAAGAGAACAGAGUGGCAGAGCAGGAAACUAGAAUGAGACAGAAAAUAAGCAAAGUCAGUGGUUCUUAGGCUUCCAGCCCACCAGAGGAAUUUUCCGGUAGGUGUUUGACACACAUGCAGAGCACAAAUGUCAAACUUCUAGGAAUUUUGAAAUUCAAAUGUCAAGAGUUUAAGAAAUUUUAAUAACAUUUCAAAAAUACCUGAGAAAUUAGAACAUAUAGCAGAACACUAUAUACUCAGCAUUUACCUGCAGUGGAUUUGAUAAUUUAAGAACUAUUAACAUUUUACCAUAUUGACCCGAAAAAAGGCUCAUAUGUAUAUACAGUUCCUUUUCCUCAAAAAAGGGCCAUGGCCCCGGGAAAAUUGUUUUGAUUUCAACCUCCACUACCUGACUCGUUUUUAGAGGCCCUCCUAAAAUCCUAUGGGUCUGCCAGAGUCAAGGAUCGUAAAUAGGUUUUACCUAACUUGUCAACUCUGAUCAGCUGGCUGGAAGAUUCACCCUUGAAUCCAGGCACAGAGAGAGUGUGGCGCAGGAGAGGGAGUUGGGGAAACUGAGAACUGUCCCUCCUCACAGCUCCACCUCACUAAAUCGGCUCUCUGUGCACUGUGGGACGUGCCAGUGUUCAGUCCAGCAGCAAGAAAAGCUUCCCUCCCUGCGGCUGUAAGAGACUGCAUCAUUGUAAUGCUGUGUUCGCAUCACUAAAAACGUUGAGCUGCACUACAUUCUGGGAGACCCCCGUAAUUCGUGCCUUAAAAAAAUGAGUUGUCCUUCUCUGGUUGGACUCCCUCUGCAGAAAAUUCUACCUCUAACCACUGGCCUGAUUUCCAUGUAGUUCCUCCCUGGAAAGUGUGCAGAAGUCCCCAUGGGAAGAAAUCUUUCUUCAGUUCUGAGCAUGGAGGUAAGGUCAUUUCAUUUCUUCUAGACUGGAGGAGCAAGCCUGCCUUUGCUUUUCAGACAGCUUGUUUUGCAGCAGGCCCUUUAUUAUCAUGAAAGUACAGGAUGAAAUUUUGAGCUUUUUAGUGAUAACACUGAUUAAUCAUCCCUUGGAGCCGGUGAUUGCUUCGUGGUCCCAAGGUAGGGAACCUGCUGGGUUAAAAAAAAAAAAAAUCAUGUUGAAGAGAAUGUUUUGUUUUGUACAUUGAGUAACAGCAUUCUCUGGUGAUCUGUUAAAAUAAGGGAUGUCUGCAAAAAUGAGGAUAAGCAUCGAUGCACCCAAGAAGAUUUUUUUCUUUUCAAAUGGAAAUACAAAUUUGGGGUUGUUAUGUGCACUUUCUUGAACUUGGAAAGAGAGAAACUGAGGCAAUAUUUAUACACUCCUAGUUAGAAGAGAAAACCCUCCAUCCUACUAGUUGCUCCAGAGGUAACAGACAUUAGCCUUUCUUACUCUUCCCUUCGUCUUCCCUCCGUCCCUCCUCUCCUUCCUUUACUUCUUUUUCCUUCAUCAGGCAGAUUGGCUGAGUUUAAAUCCUAAAACCACAGCUGUAUGAGCUGUGAAAUCUGGAGCAGCUUAGUUGACCUCCAUAUGUCUUUUGCUUCAUCUGUACAACAGAGACAGGUGGUGUUUCCCUCCUGAGUUUUGUGGGGUUUUUUUGUUUUUUUUUUUUUUUAUGAUGAUUGAGUGAGUCAGCGCGUGGAAACUUAAGGGUUCUGUCAGGCAUGUAGUAAGCCUCAGGUGGGAACACUUCUUCUGUACUCCCUGUGUUUCCUUCCAUGGGGUGGGAACUACUCUGCUGAGACACUCCCAGCCUCCCUCCCUCUCACUUGCUGGAUAUUGGCUUAAUCUGAUUAGAAUUAGAGUGAAUGAACUGGCAUGCUGGCCUCAGGCUCUUUUCCUCUCUUGGAAGUAAGUGGUUGCCUCUGCUUUUCCAAGGGAAGCCCUCGUUUGAGACUGACUCUGACCCCACUGUUGUAAUGGCAGCACAAUCAGGCUAAUUCCAGAUUGACUGUUGAGAAGGGUGGCACUGUCCUUAGCAGCAAGCAGGAGUCCUGCGCUAUGGAAUUCCUUCCUCAAGGUGUUCCAAAUCCCCCUCCAGAGCCCAGGAUUGCCUGGACAGGGAUCAGCGUGGGCCUCAGACCUGGCGUCUGCCCUCAGGGUGCUCCCGCACGGUCUCCCAUGCAAGUGGAUACAAGGAGAUGCCCCAGGGGUUCCAGGGCUCAUGUCUGUGGGGUCCUUCUGGGGCCCCAUGGCCUGGUUCUUGUUCCAGGAGGAUGGACUGGCCAGGAUCUCUUUCCCCCUAACUGGCAGAGUAUUUCUUUUGUAUGAGUGGGCAAGAUUAGGCCCCUGUAAUCAUGCCGACUGGGAGUACUUCUCACUCCCAUCUCAAACAGAGCAGGUCCAGGUCUUGGCUUGAGCUGCAUGUGUGGGCCUGUGUUACUGAAGUGUGGGCACAGUGACACUCAAGGUGGGGCCAGCAGGUGUCCUUUACCCUGUUCUGUGCCCACCACUGGCUCCUAGGGCAGUCACCCACCCCAGCAGGUGGUCUCUAGGGUGGCUGUGCCAUCUCUUCUGAGGACACCUGAGACCAUUGUCUGGCUACACCAGUGGGCCCUUCCCAUCCGUGUCCUUUCCUGACUUCAGUUCUGGUGACAUCAUGCUCUCACAGGAUGGUCUUAAACUGCUGGAUGAGGGAAUCAGGUUUCUUGUGUAAAAGAAACUAUUCUCUGAUGAUAUGUGGAAGACACGGGUGUGGUCCAUAUGGAGAGAUCACAUUCCAGCCUAAAGAGUUCAAGAGAGGAUAUAGCUGGAAGAUACAUUGUUCUAUUAAUGCCAUGAAAUAAAGCAGAGUACAUUUAACAUAUCUGGAAAAUGAAUUAUUGUUCACAUUUUCCUGCCUAUUCUGGAUAAGACUUGAAUAUAUGGUCAUGAUCAGUGAAGCACGAUAACAACCUUCAAUGAAGUCACUGGAAGCUGCUAUUCACAGACCACACUUUGAAUGAUACAGCAGCAGCAAGAGUAAUAAUGUAACAGCAUCAAAUAAAUGGAAGUCUGAACUUGCAGAGGCAAGAAGACCUAUAUUGUUUUACUACAAAGAGGUUCUGAAAGCCAUGGCACCAUGAGUAAUAACGCUAUUGCUAUCACUUCCUCCCUGCAGGAGAUAUGAAAUUAGCCAGGAAUGUUGUGUAUGACAGUAAAGAACAUGAAUAAGUGGUUCCCGAACCUGGACAGAAAGAAAUGGUGCUACAUAGUAUGAAAAAUCUUCACAUGCACUGAUAGGAUCAUAAACAAAUAGGGUGAGGGAGACAAGGUGUUUCAAACAGUACGCACUGAAGAUCCAACAUCGCCAGUACAUCGCCAGUCUAGCAGCCACUCUGCAGGUUUCCCUGUGUUCACGCGUUUGACGAUUAUCUCCCUUCAUGGGUUAGAAAGAGGGAGCACAUCCUUCUCAGCGAGUGAUCCUGUGGAAGUUUCCUAGUGAAUGAAGUGCAUCAUUACAAGAGAUGGGCAGAAGGGUUCCUGCCACAGAAGAAAGAGAACGACACAUAACUCUCAUACGAUGGCAGAGGUCUGCUUUAGAGGGAGAAGAAAAGGAAGAGUGAGAAAGAAGGAAGGAGAUGGAAGAACACGUUUUGAGGGAGAUGAGAUCCAGAUGUCUGAGGCACUUCCACCGUAAAUUUCAUUUAGAGUUACAGCUUUAGGGAGUAGCAUUCUUCCUUUAUAGUCUUCUAUGCUUAAAUACCAAUCCAUAAAAAUCUCCCUCCUAUGUGUGGGUACAUGUGUGUUAAUUAAAAGAAAAAAAGUCUCCUGCACUCUUAACCCCUCAUGGAACAGAGUGAAAAAAUAUAUAUACAUUAAGAUCCACUGUGGUACAAGUUCCUGCAGAGCAGAGAAGCUCUGAUUUCAGAACUGGGGACCAAAUAUAAUAUUUGAAAUUAAGAGGCUUAAAAUGUAGCAAUGGUUGAGAAGCAUGACAGCUGAGGAAUUAGGGUGGACUAAGGAUUUGUCAGAAGUCGAAGGAUAGAUGAAAAUAAGUUGUUUGCUUGCAUUUUUCUCUUUUCAUGUUGACAGUCAACAGAGUCACUCAGAAGAUAAUGAGUAACUUCAAAGAAAGAAACAGUUAAUCAGCUCCAACACCUAGGACUGCAAAGAACCCUCAAAGAAGAUAAAACAGUGAUAUGUUCACUGGAGAAGGAGGCAUCCAAUUCUAGGGCACUGAGGAUGCCAAACUUUAGGAAAACAUCACAACUCAUGUAAAUGGUACAUGGAACAGACUUGUCUCAUAGAAAUGGCUCAUUGUAUUUAAAUUUUUUUAAUUUUGGUUUCCAUUUCAAUUGAUAUGCAAGGGCCAACUCCUUCCCUGGACCUAGGCAUCACAUGAGUUACCUGUUCACUCUCAUGUCAUUCAAAUCCUCCAGGUAUUCUAAAUUUCAGUGCAGUCUUAAUAUAGAAACUAUAAGCCCAGUCCCUGUAAUAAUCAAAACUACGAAUCUGAUUUAAAAUUGAGGCAUUUCCCCACACCAGGCUUGGGCCAGCAGCUCCAAGGAGAAUGCAGAAUCGGGCCAUGGCUGGCUUCUCUGUUCGCUCAAAGCGCUCUUCUAUCCACCCCCCUCUCAGGUAGGGAAAGGUCUUACCUGUGCAGCACUGUUAUGCAUGUCACCCUCUGACACAUAGUCUUACAUCUGUUAUUUCCGCCUCUCUCAUGGGGGCUACAGACCCUCCCUUCUCGACCCCUUUGCCUCGUACUGUCCCUUGAAGUCUCCUUGACUUGGGUGAUUUACUCUAAGGAUUUAAACCUCCGUGGUUCACCUGCAGCUUCUUUAUCCCAAGGGAACUUUGCACUUCUGGGUGGCCCUCUUGAAUAGGGCAGAAAGUUGCCUCUGCCCAUAACUCACAGUUGGUCCAUGGUGAGCCUGGCCCCUCAGCCCUGAUAGCUGCUGUGGGGUUGGGGUUAGGCUUUUCCUCUCUAGCUGCCCCUCACCCUUCCUUCCACUAGCAGAGCAGCUGUAUUUUGCCCUUUAAAUUUAAUAGCCAGAGUCAGAUGCCAGUGCUCUUCGAUCCCCAACCCCUCAAACUGCAGGGGCAAAGUGUUACCCUCUCUGAUGAAAGCCCAGCUCCCUUGCCUUCAGUAGAACAGGAAGGGGGAAGCAGCCACUAUCCUUGGCUUCUGGGGUGGAGCUGGGACUCAGAAGCUUCCUUCAGAUCUAGCCUCCUACAACGUGCUUCAAUUCUCACCCUUUUAUACCAUCAAAGGGAGUGAGGGCUUUCACCCACUGACCAGUUCAUAUUUGUAUGAUCAUCUAAACUCUUACUUUCUCUAUGCUUUGAAAAAAAUUUUGAAAUAGCCACAAGGAAAAAAAACAAUGAGCAUACCUCAAGGAAAUGACAGCCAGCUACAUUCAUAUCAUUUCUACUUUUUUCAGACAGCCUAAUUUUUUUUUCUUUUUUCCUUUUUUUUUCUUUCUUUUUUUUUUUUUUUUUUUUUUUUUUUUUUGUAUUUUGGACCCAAUUCCUUGAAAGAGUUGGCUGGUCUUGGGUCCUUAUUUUAACCUAAAAUUGUAAAAUUUAAAUAAUCUAUCUAGAAGGCUAAAGCUAAAGCUAUUUAUUAUUUAUGUUUAUAUAUUAUCUCAUUUUAACAAAUGAUUUACAUUGGCAAAAAAAAGAAAGAAGGAGGGAAGGAAAGAAAGAAGGAAGAAAGGAAAGAAAGAAACCCUAAUUCACAAUUGUGUGAAUUUUCUUUCCAGGUAUGGAUAAUACUUCUAUGCUCUAAUAUUUGAUUUUUAGAGUUUUUAUGCAUGUUUGGUGAAACUACCAAGUUUGUAAUAAUCAUAAACUUUAUGACUAGAAGAAUUAUUCUUGUUUCAAAAUAAAUUGAAUGUAAGACAACCCAAUGAUCUUUCUGCUAGUGAGUAAUUGUUUAUGGUCUGUUAGAACUCACAAAUAUGAACUAGUCAGUGGGUGAAGACAAAGUGGCUUAUGUUUAUAUCGGGAAAAGUUAACAAAACAGCUCAAAAUCAUCAGCAAUUUACUGUUGCUAAUAUGCAACUAAUAAACUACAUUUUGUAGAGAAAGAUUGCUGGGUUAGGAGCAAGAAAAUAUAUUUGUGUUACUUUGUAGCCUGGAGAGGAAGCAGUGAAUAAGACCCAGGAUUUGGAAUCAAGAUGCUUGGCUUUGAAUCCUGCCUCUGCUAUUUAGCUAUGUGACCUCGGGCAAGUUAAGCACUCUCUCCUUCCUCAAUUUCCCCAUCUUUAAAAUGGACGUUAUAACAAUGAUGUAGCAGUCAAGGUUCAACCAGAGACACAAAACCAGUAAGAUAUAUAUAUAUUUUUACAUGAAAUUGGCCUUACACAAUUGUGGGGCUUGCUAAGCAAUUCCAGAAUUCAUAGGACACAAGCCAAAGCAGUGAAAUUUCUUCCCCUCCCCCAACAACCCUCACCCUCCUCAGACCAUGAAAGUCUUUGCUUUUAAACCCACCCAGAUUAUCCAGGACAAUCCCCUUUACUUAAAACCAAUUGAUUAUAGACUUUAAAUCUAUGAUUAUAGACUUUAAUUAAAUUUUCAUAGCAACAUAGAUUAGCAUUUGAUUGUAUAAUGGCUGAUUGUAGCCUAGUCAGGCUGACACACCACAAGUACCUACAUCACAGGUUGUUGUAAAGCCAAAGAGAUAGCUCUGCAUCAGUGUCUGGCAUACGCUAAAUACUCAAGUGUUCAUAAAUAUUAUUUACCAGCUCUGUGGCUUCGAGCAAAUCAUGUAAUUUAUCUGAUCCUUGAUUUCUGCAUGGAUAAAAUAAAAGUAUGGGU